rnacentral:ncRNA from 1 species
UAUUCCUAAAGGCAAACUGUCCGAAAGGGCAGGACGCAAAGCCAUGGGCCUAAGAGCGCAAUUGCUGCAUUUAUGGCCGCCAGGCUGCCAAU